AGCCGGGCCCUGUAGAACGGAGAAUUGUGAACCCCGUCAGGUCCGGAAGGAAGCAGCGGUAACGAUUUCGACGUUUGCUGCGGGACUACCCGGCUAUC
rnacentral:SRP_RNA from 1 species